rnacentral:rRNA from 1 species
UACGGAGGGAGCUAGCGUUGUUCGGAAUUACUGGGCGUAAAGCGCACGUAGGCGGAUUUGUAAGUCAGGGGUGAAAUCCCGGGGCUCAACCUCGGAACUGCCUUUGAUACUGCAAAUCUCGAGUCCGGAAGAGGUGAGUGGAAUUCCCGGUGUAGUGGUGAAAUGCGUAGAUAUCGGGAGGAACACCAGUGGCGAAGGCGACUACCUGGCCUGUUCUUGACGCUGAGGCGCGAAAGCUAGGGGAGCAAACGGG